GACUCACACGUUCUCCAAAAGAUUCGGUUAGGAUGAAAACACAAGAAACAUAAAAAAAAAAGGUGUUACAAAUAUGGAACAUAAAAAAAAUGAACGAUUUCUUUUUCAAAAGACAAAAAAAGGAAAAUGAACGAAAUGUUUGCUAUGGACUCGAUUGUACCAGCAUGCCCAUGUGUCGGGCCAGAACCUUGCAUUUUCCUUACGGUUUUGCUAUUUCUUAAUUAGGCGACUGAGAAAUAACUAUUUUUUCUUAGUCGAUGAUAACGACCUUUUGAUUCAAUCAUUGAGAUUCUUAUAAGAUUAAUAUAAGUCUGAUGGAUAAAAUAAUCUUGAUUAGAUGGCUACGAUUGUUGAUUGAGAAAUAAAUAUUUCUUAGACGACUGAGAAAUAGACACUCGUGUUUCCUUGAGUACAGACAAAGAAUAAACAUACUACGCGAUGAACAUGGAUGCCAAGCAAAACAAGUUAUCAAACACCUAACCUGCAAGCACAACAAAUUAUGCAGCACCAGAAACAAAAUAGACAGAGAUCGACGUGGGAAGAAAGGGGAAAAGGAAGGACGCGCGAUGGACAAUCGGACCAGGCGGCGGG
rnacentral:lncRNA from 1 species